UACGGGGGGAGCAAGCGUUGUUCGGAUUUACUGGGCGUAAAGGGCGCGUAGGCGGUCAGCACAAGACAGUUGUGAAAUCCCCGGGCUCAACCUGGGAACUGCAUCUGUGACUGCAUCGCUGGAGUGCGGCAGAGGGGGAUGGAAUUCCGCGUGUAGCAGUGAAAUGCGUAGAUAUGCGGAGGAACACCGAUGGCGAAGGCAAUCCCCUGGGCCUGCACUGACGCUCAUGCACGAAAGCGUGGGGAGCAAACAGG
rnacentral:rRNA from 1 species